rnacentral:rRNA from 1 species
AUGCCAGUCCCCACGACACCGCCCAAGCCCGUGACUCCACCUCCGGUGACGCCGCCGAAGUAUGCGCCGAAGCCCGUGCUGCCACCUCCGGCGACGCCGACCAAGCCAGUGCUUCCGCCCCCGGUGACGGCGCCGAAGCCCGUGACGCCACCCAUCGCGAUGCCGCCAACGACCGCGCUGGCGCCCGCGCCGUGGGACGAACCUGGCUACGGGUCCAACCCGAUUCCGGAGGAGAUCAAGAGCGUGUGCAGGCGGACGCCGUUCCCGCAGCUGUGCGCGCGCGCGCUGGCCUUCGUGGUGGACCCGCAGAGGGUGAACGACACGCGGUGGCUGGCGGAGACGUCGCUGCGCAUCGCCAUCGAGGCCGGCACGGGGCUGGCCGCCUUCGGGUGGGUCAACCUGGGGGGCGCCCCGAGCGGCACCAGGCUGCGGAUGUGCGUGCGCGACUGCACCGUGCGCGUGGACGCCGCGGUCAAGAACCUGACGGCGUCGCAGGUGGCGUUGAGGCGGGGUGAGCUCAGGGAGGCGGUGCAGACGCUGGGCGAGGCGGCCAAGGGGUGCGGCAUGUGCUGGGGCAGCUGCGCGAGCUUCACCGGGGAGGUCAUGCAGGUCAUGGUCAAGCGCGCCAAAGACUUCCAGAAGCUCGUCAUGGUCGCCAGCUCCGUUAUCCUCAUCAUUAUCAAGUGA